AUUGCACGCUGGCGGCAGGCCUAACACAUGCAAGUCGAACGAGUGGCGGAGGGGUGAGUAAUGUCUGGGACAGUGGCAGAUGGAGGGGGAUAACUACGGGAAACAGUAGCUAAUACCGCAUAACAUCGGAUGUGACCAGAUGGGAUUAGCUAGUAGGUGGGGGAAUGGUUCACCUAGGCGACGAUCCCUAGCUGGUCUGAGAGGAUGACGUGGCAAACUGGAACUGAGACACGGUCAAGAAUCCUACGAGUGGCAGCAGUGGGGAAGGUUGCAGAAUGGGCGAAAGCCUGCUGCAUCGAUGCCGCGUGUAUGAAGAAGGACUUCGUGUUUCAAAGUACUUUCAGCGAGGAGUCGUUACUUGCAGAUGAAGCACCGGCUAACUCCGUGCUAGCAGCCGCGGUAAUUC
rnacentral:rRNA from 1 species